rnacentral:rRNA from 1 species
UGGGGAAUAUUGCACAAUGGGCGCAAGCCUGAUGCAGCCAUGCCGCGUGUGUGAAGAAGGCCUUCGGGUUGUAAAGCACUUUCAGCGAGGAGGAAGGUGGUGAACUUAAUACGUUCAUCAAUUGACGUUACUCGCAGAAGAAGCACCGGCUAACUCCGUGCCAGCAGCCGCGGUAAUACGGAGGGUGCAAGCGUUAAUCGGAAUUACUGGGCGUAAAGCGCACGCAGGCGGUUUUGUUAAGUCAGAUGUGAAAUCCCCGGGCUCAACCUGGGAACUGCAUUUGAAACUGGCAAGCUAGAGUCUCGUAGAGGGGGGUAGAAUUCCAGGUGUAGCGGUGAAAUGCGUGAGAUGUAUGAGGAAUGAA